UAUAAUUUAAAGUAGGGCCUGCCCACUGAGUAUUUUGAAGGGCCGCAGUAUUUUGACUGUGCAAAGGUAGCAUAAUCAUUAGUUUUUUAAUUGAAAGCUUGUAUGAAUGGUUUGAUGAAAAAAUGACUUUCUUUACUUUAACUUUUAAAAACUUUAUUUUUAAGUUAAAAAGCUUAAAUUUUUUUAAUAGACGAGAAGACCCUAUAGAGUUUUAUUUAUUUAAAUUUUUAAAUUUUUAGAAUUUAAUAAUUUUUAAUUUUAAAUAAAUUUGGUUGGGGUGAUUAAAAAAUUUAAUAAACUUUUUUUAUAUAAUAACAUUAAUUUAUG
rnacentral:rRNA from 1 species